UUUCCUGUAUACGAAGCGUCACUGGUACCUGUAGAAACAACAAUACUACAAACAGUAGUAUAGAGCAGAAGAAAUAACUAAAGUAAACGAGCUUUUUAUACAUAGUCACAAAUCCCAAGUACAAAACCACUCGCACUGGCGAGUUCAACUGCUAUGUACAAAAGCUCCAAAAGAAAAAUCACUACCUGCUGUAAGGGGAGGACGCCUCUAACUCGAUCAGUCUGGUAGGGCUCUAACUCGCGACGCCCUUGCCUCGAUCCUGAUCUGCGGAAGGCGCAGCAGCCGAAACCUGUGGCUCUGCAAAACAGGGGUAACAACUGGGCGUGAGAACUACUGUAAAAACAAGUAGUCCUCAGUGGGUACCGCCCAAAACAACUCGGUCCACCCACUAAGUCUACAGAAGGGAGCAAGAAUAGUAGGAAAAGCAGGAAAUAACUCGACCGCUACAAAUCACUAUACUAUCAUGCUCUACACUAACCAACUGUAGGAAACGUCAAAUCUGACCCAAUCCGAUCGGGACUGUAGACAUACCCGUCCCUGGGACUGUGAACACACCCGUCCCUGCCC
rnacentral:lncRNA from 1 species